GUGUCAGCCGCCGCGGUAAGACGGAGGAUGCAAGCGUUAUCCGGAAUUAUUGGGCGUAAAGCGUACGUAGGCUGUUGAAUAAGUCUGUUGUCAAAGCCCGAGGCUUAACCUUGGAAAGGCAAUGGAAACUGUUUGACUAGAGAGAGAUAGGGGCAGGAGGAAUUCCAGGUGUAGCGGUGAAAUGCGUAGAUAUCUGGAAGAACACCAGUGGCGAAAGCGUCCUGCUGGAUCUCAACUGACGCUGAAGUACGAAAGCUAGGGGAGCGAAUGGGAUUAGAAACCCUCGUAGUCC
rnacentral:rRNA from 1 species